rnacentral:rRNA from 1 species
UAGAGAUACCUUAGUGCCUUCGGGAACGCAGAGACAGGUGCUGCAUGGCUGUCGUCAGCUCGUGUUGUGAAAUGUUGGGUUAAGUCCCGUAACGAGCGCAACCCUUGUCCUUAUUUGCCAGCGUGUAAUGGCGGGAACUCUAAGGAGACUGCCGGUGACAAACCGGAGGAAGGUGGGGACGACGUCAAGUCAUCAUGGCCCUUACGAGUAGGGCUACACACGUGCUACAAUGGUCGGUACAAAGGGUUGCCAACUCGCGAGAGUGAGCCAAUCCCGAAAAGCCGAUCUCAGUCCGGAUCGGAGUCUGCAACUCGACUCCGAGAAGUCGGAAUCGCUAGUAAUCGUGGAUCAGAAUGCCACGGUGAAUACGUUCCCGGGCCUUGUACACACCGCCCGUCACACCAUGGGAGUGGACUGCCCCAGAAGUGGUUAGCCUAACGCAAGAGGGCGAUCAC